UCAUUGUUUGGUUCUUGCAUGUGCAGU
rnacentral:piRNA from 1 species